rnacentral:tRNA from 1 species
UCCCUGGUGGCUCAAACGGUAAAGCGUCUGCCUGCAAUGCAGGAGACCCAGGUUCAAUUCCUGGGUUGGGAA